rnacentral:lncRNA from 1 species
UUUUUUUUUUUUAGGAGAUUGUUCUCCAGACAUGCCCUGGCAGGUGCCUCACCCCUCUUACAGCUGAGCCCCUGAAGCUCCCCUGGGUCUUCUCUUUUCCCCAACAGCCAGGAUCUGGGGAAAAGUCCGCAGAGGUCACAGGACACCACACCAUCAGGAGCUAUUUUAGAUGUCUCAAAAUUACAGUAAUAACCCAUCCAAAAGUCGAAGGCAGGCUAGGGUAGUGUAUUUUAAAUUCAGCACUAGAGCCUCUGUUUUGUAUUUUCCAAGGGCCAAAGACAUCAUUAAGAAAGUGAUUUUGCAAAAUCUAUAGAAAAAAAGGUUAGUCCCUAAACACAGACUACCACCUUCAUAAGUGGGGGACCAACCAGAAAGAAACUGGUUUGAAGCCUCUGCAAUACUGGAAAACACCACAGUUCCAUGGAUUAUCAAAAGACCCUCAAGGCCUGAGAAAUGGUUCUAUCCAAACCCACUAUGAUGUUUUUACAGGAAUUCUGUAGGUAAAUGCCAUCACUUAAUGCACUGAUGGUGCUGCUGAUUCAAUUUUCUGCUUGCAUAAAUAUCGGCUAAAUCCCUUAUUAUGAAUGAACAGGGCUGGCCUGAGGGAUGAGACCUCUGGUCCUAAUCACUGCAGCCACCAGAAUUAAUGACAGUAAUGACUCGACACUGAUAAACCAGCAGGCCGGCUUCACCCACCACACUGUGCUGUGGGCUCACAUCAGCAGCACUGGCGAGGGGAAGCAGCCUCCACAGCCAGGAAUGAACGAAUGAGGAUUAAAGGAUUAUUUCAUGAGAUAAAAGCAAUGAGGAUGAAGCCGUUUCUAAGAAGGUGGCAACAGCACUCUUUCCAGAGAGUGGCAACAAUCUCACAAAAUAUUCUGGGGAAGGGUAGGAAGGGUAUGGCGGCUUAUGUUAUUAUUGAUGAAAGAUAGAACUGUAAUAAAAGCGCAAGGAGUAUAAAAAGUGUCAGAGAUGAUUUCAUUUCAUGUGUAAUAAAGUAAGGCACAUAAAAAUAACACAUUGCUAUAAAGACACUACACUGCAUUCAAUACAGGUACAUGAGAGCACAAAGCAAGGUGCUUCCAGAGACUGCUGGGGGCACAGGGACCCGCAGAAAACAAACUCCCAAAGUUCAAUGGACACAAAAUUUAGAUUUAGGCUGGGGCUUAGAGAGAGACCCCACUGCCGAACACAUGUCCUUCAGGCAAUAAUGAGUUUGUAGCUUCUACUACGGGAUUUAUAAAGUGAAGCACAUUAGCAAGAAAGACACAUUGAAGGAUUUGGGAAAAAAAUAGGUACUAAAAAAGAAUCAGCAUAAAUUACAACUCAUUUCUAGGGAUCUCCCCAACACCAUGGCACCAAAACGGAAAAACUGAUUUCUAACACCUAAAAAAUGGGGUGGGCAGUCUCACAAGUUUAAAAUCACGAGAACAGGGGCACCUGGGUGACUCAGUCAGUUAAGUGUCUGCCUUCGGCUCAGGUCACGAUCCCAGGGUCCUGGGAUGGAGCCCUGUAACUGGCUCUCUGCUCAGUGGGGUGCCUGCUUCUCUCUCCCUCUGCCCCUGCCCCUGCCCCUCCCCCUGCUUGUGCUCUAUCUCAAAUAAAUAAAAUCUUUAAAAUUAAUUAAUUAAUUAAAAAAAAUUGCAAGAACAUCAAGUCUCUGGGUCUCAAUUUAGGAGUGUCCUGCCAGAAGGUAGAGUCCCACAUGGACAUGGUCAGCAGGGUUUUGUUCCAGCCUCAAUGGUCAGUGUGCACACCUGAAGAAAGAAUUCAGGACUGCUGGACCUAUAUUUACGAGGGCAAAUGAGUCCACGGGGCACGGUUCCGGGCCAACACUGGCACCUGGGCAGGCCUGGCCUCACCAGAUGCUCCAUCAUGCCUGCACCUGUCACCUUGGCCUGGUGCCCUCCCACGUGGGAACUGAAGUCAAACCCCAAAGGGGCAGGGAAGUCAGAUUCUUCCAAACAAAAAUCUUUGACAAAUUAUUUUUUAAACGCUAAUUUUGCAACACCCAGGACAAAUUUUAUCUGCAUCUAAGAAGACAGCUCCCCAAGAAGGAUAGAAGUAAUACAAAGUAACCCUCUAAGAAUUUCCAGAAAAAAAAAAAUCAUUCUCUCUCUACCCCAGCUCUGCAAAAGUUGAGAAGGUAUUAGUGAAAAUGACCACCUAUCCCACUCAAACCCAAAAAUAAACCCUCCUGGCAUUAAGUGGCCAGGUGAGAGCUAACAUAAUUAAUUGUAAACACAUCAUGUUUCAUUAGGAUUCUUCUUGAUGCUAGUAUAAAAAAAAUCAAUGAUCUUUUCAACUUAAUAGCCAAUCUGAAAAGCAAUUUUAGGAAAAUAAUUGGUUUCAGAAAUGAAAAAAACACAUGGACAGAAGUAUGCCUUUGCCAUUACUUUCUGGAGCUUUACAGAACCAUUCCCAGAACUCAUAUAACAUUUAUAAGAAAUAAUUAUACGCCAAAUGAUUAUUAUACCAAUUGUUGGUUCUAAUCAAUAGUUAAGGACAUAAGCAGAGGAGGGAAUUAAUUACACAUUCAAUACCGCUCCUUAAAAAUAAAAGCAAAAUUGAGAGCAGUGUAAGGAUGAAGAACUGGCAGACGUGAAAAAACACAUGUUCUGUCUGCAGGUGCCCAGGCACAGAGGCAAAGGCACCCAGAUGGCUCGGAGUCAAAAUCGUGGGGACAUGAACCACCUCCGGGGAGCUGUGGUCACGUGGCCCAAUCAUGAAUUCUCUCACAGCUGCCUUGGUUAAAAAAUGUCUUCUAAGGAGCUUUAACAACCUGAGAUAUUCUUCAAGAAUGUAGUCUAUGGUAAGGGAAAAAAAAAAAGAGUCUAAAUAAGAAGAGUAACAAGGAAGGGCAGUCUGAAGGAUGCAGAGGUCUGAGCCAGGUCAAAGAAGAAACCAUGCCUGGAAGGGGGAACAGAGCAGGUGGUGGCUGAGCACAGGCAAGGCUAAAAACUAGGACCUGAUAGGAAGCCAGGUGGCACAGUGGAAGAGUGGGGUGGGAAACACUGAGAGCAGGACACACGGGCGAGGGGAUGCCUGGCCCAAGACCUGUCAUCUAGCCAGCUUGCUCUCACACCAAGGCCUGGAGGAACCCCAGUGCUUUGCAGCCCAGAGGCACAUUCAUCUAGGCUAGACUCACCCUUGGUUCAGGUGCCACCAACCACGUAGAAAUCUUGGUUUUGCUCUUGCUAGGACACACAUACCACCCUACAGUUGUAGAAUGAAUGCAAAUAUCCUGUUUCCUUAGCAAUCUUCCUUCUGCAUGAUUCUCAGUAACACAUCAGACUGCAGAAAACCUAACAGACCCAUCUCUUCUGGACCCAUCAACACAAUUACUCAUCAUCAUGUAAGUUCACAAGGAACUUAAAAAAAAGGGAUAUUUCUUUUUUAGAACAAUGGUCUUGGGUUGCUGGAGGGGAGGUAGGUGGGGGGAUGAGGUAACUGGGUGACAGGCAUGAAGGAGGGCCCGUGAUGUGAUAAGCACUGGGUGUUAUAUGCAACUGAUGAAUUAUUGAAAACUGUAUCUGAAACUAAUGAUGGACUGUAUGUUGGCAAAUUGAAUUUAAAUUAAAAAAAAAGAAAAAAGAAAAAAAAGGCCUUGUAUUAACUCUAUUUUCCUCCACAUUAGGAGGCUAAGAAUUGGCCACAAAGCUAAGUUUAUAUCACUAGAAUUUAUUCUUUGGGGUUUCAUUUCCAGGGAAGAAAAUAUAGAGAAGUAUACGUUUUCUGAACCCUUGUCACCCAUGAAAGCCUAUAGCAUCUUUAUCUAUAUAUCCUACUACAUAGCCCUAAAAAUAAUAAAAUAAAUCUUAGAUUGUUCUCUAAGUAUUUUACUUGCAGUUGUCUACUUCAUUCAUUUAAUCAUUCGACAUUUGCCAAGCACCCUUGUGUGCUAGGCUCACAGGUCUAAGCAACAUACCAUCCUGUCCUUGGAACUCACAGACUAGCAGAAAAGCCUGUUUCCAUGAUCAUCUAUGAAGCAGGAAGUAGAAGCAACAUCUAAUUUUAUAGGUUCACUGGUAACUGCUGAUGAACCUAUUCCCUGUCACGAAAUACAGGAAACUUAUAAAAGUUUGAGGAAACAGAAUGCUUGGUGGUCAAGAAUGGGAGCUUGAGGGCCAAAACUGGGUUUAUAAUCUGGCUGCACCCCUACCUUGCUCAACGGUUCUGGGCCUCUGUGAACCUGUUUCCUCACCUGAACCGAGAUGAGGUACAUUCCAGUGUUCUACUGUGACCACACACUCCACGAGGCAGUUCCUAUACAGGGCUGAGGACGGAAGCUGGAAGAGUCAGUCAGUAAUCAGAACUACUAGGUGUCACAUGAUGUCCGUAAACUAUUAACACUGCUCCUUGGGCUCUGAGAAAAAUUCAUAGGGAUCGACCAUAGUUUUCAGCCACCACUGUUGCCUCCCUAUCAAAGAAUCCUGGCCAGGCAGGUCCACAGCACCUUGCUUGGGUUCUUCGAGAAAAGGGGACUCUUCUUUACAUAAAAGUCAAAGAUCAUGUUGAGAUCUAGGACCCAAAACCUGUCACCAAAAAAAACAAAAACAAAAAACAAACAAAAAAAAACCUGUCACCAUUCCUUACCAACUAAUUUUCUACUGACUCUUCAAGAUGAAACACGGACCUAUUUCCUCACCAAACAAAAGACAAUGGAGGAGUGUAAAUGUUACAGAAGUCAAUUCCACACACACACACACACACACACACACACACCCAGCAAUGCUGCUCUCUGCAGACGUUUGUUGGCUGGGGCAUAUAAUCUGUUAGAAAUUUCAUGUAAGAAAAACAUUAACGCACCAAAAAAAAAAAAAAAAUACAUCUCUUUUGAUGCAGUAGCCACUUCCAGGAACUCAUCCUACAGAAAUGUUUAUAAAAGCAUGACAGAUUUACCUGCAGCAAUAGUCAAUGAACUAUAUUUGUAAUAACUAGAAAAAACUGGAAAUAACUCAAAUCCAAGAAUGGGAACAUGGUUAAAUACACAGCAGCGCUUUAGGGGUACAGACACAGAAUACUAUAUAUCCACUGAGAAUAAUGUACCAGGAUGCCUGGGUGGCUCAGUGGUUGAGCAUCUGUCUUUGGCUCAGGGCAUGACCCCGGGGUCCUGGGAUGGAGUCCCGCAUCAGGCUCCCUGUAGGGAGCCUGCUUCUCUCUCUGCCUGUGUCUCUGCCUCUCUCUGUGUCUCUCGUGAUAAAUAAAAUCUUUAAAAAAAUAAUGUACCAAUGGACGAAAUGAUAAAGUCAAAAGCCCUCCUCGAAGAGCUGACAUGAAAAAGGAGGGAUGCAGAUCAAAGUCAGUGAACACGCACACACAUUCCUAUAGCCCUAAAGCCAACUUCCAAAAGCGUGGCCCAAGAAGCUUCUCAUAGUGGUUAGCUUUGGGAAGAAUAACUAAGGAAUAAAAAGGGAACAAGGCAGGUAAAGCACUUUACUUCAUAUUUUCUAUACUUUUGAAAUGAUUUUUUUAUACUACGCACAUGUUUGUCUCAUUUAAGAAGAAACUUGAUGUUUUCAAGCUGUCAGUUCAAAAGCCAAGAUGCCUCUCCAAAUUAUAAUUAACAUUGAGCUACAAAGAAACAAGUUCAGAGGAAAUUAAAAUUAGACCUUCCUUGAAAAACUUGACAAACUUCAUGAUUAAGGCAAAUAGUACUUUAGUACAGAUUUUUAAAGGGUUGUGUUUUGUUUUUUGGUGGGGUUUGUUUUUUUUUUUUUUUUUUUUUGUUUUUUUUGGUAGAAAAACAAGUUGACAGCCACUUCUCCUUA